AACUCAGAGAGAUUUCAUAAAGUACAGAGAGAGGCGAACAUUUCACUAAGACAAUUUCUAGCACGAUGUCCUUGGUUGUGUUUAAUCUUCCCUCCUUUGAAGCCCUAUCUCAAGACUUGGGGUUUGGCAUGCUUCGCAGAUGUUCGCUCGUGGUUUAGGAGCGCCGUUUUAUCCACGAAUGUACGAGUGCAUAUUCUGCAAAAAUGGUGUGAUUUUGCUUUAUGAGUCGCCAGGAGAUCAGGCGUCACAAAAGAAAGUUUGCAGCCACGGAUCUGGCAUUUGUGUUUAUGAGCAACUCCCUUAUGGCUUUUCUCGCUCACCUUGUCUGCGAAGACUGCCUCACAUUGUGAGC
rnacentral:sRNA from 1 species